UCCAUGGGACCCAGCCCCCCAGGAGAUUGGGGCUGCCAACAAGCAGGGUGAUCUCCCACAGUGUGGAGCCUGAACAAGAAGAGGCUGGGGAGGGUUUUCCCCACGACAGCCCCACGGCACAGCAGAUCAUGCGGCUGCUUCAUGAGAUGCAGAACCCCCAGGAGCGCCCAGGCUUGGGCAGCAACCCCUGCAUCCCCAUUUUUUACUGAGCUCAGGAGAGCAAGAUGAAGGCGACAGAGCUGCUGACAAUUAGAUCUGCCCCAAGGAUGACUCCAGCGAUAAAUGCCAUGAUGGCUCCAUCUUUGCCCAGCCCUUUUGCCAACCAGGAGAAUGAACAUUCAUCCCUCCAGGGAGAGACAGGAUCUCACUGCAUUGCCCAGGUUGGUCUCACAUGCCUGGCCUCAAGCAAUAUUCCAACCUCGGCUUCCCAAAGUGCUGGGAUUACAGGCGUGAGCAACCCUACCCGGCCUGAGUUGUGUUUUUAAAAUCAAGGUUCUCUUUGCAUGUCUAAUAGUUUUUGCUUAUUAAAACACAUAGCUGCUGGAUUGUGUAGUGUGUAUAUUUUUUACAUAAUUUAUUCAACCUAGCCUAAUAAAAUACUACUACUACUA
rnacentral:lncRNA from 1 species